rnacentral:rRNA from 1 species
AUUGAACGCUGGCGGCAUGCCUUACACAUGCAAGUCGAACGGUAACAGGUCUCCGGAUGCUGACGAGUGGCAAACGGGUGAGUAAUACAUCGGAACGUGCCUAGUAGUGGGGGAUAACUACUCGAAAGAGUGGCUAAUACCGCAUGAGAUCUACGGAUGAAAGCAGGGGAUCGCAAGACCUUGUGCUACUAGAGCGGCCGAUGGCAGAUUAGGUAGUUGGUGGGAUAAAAGCUUACCAAGCCGACGAUCUGUAGCUGGUCUGAGAGGACGAUCAGCCACACUGGGACUGAGACACGGCCCAGACUCCUACGGGAGGCAGCAGUGGGGAAUUUUGGACAAUGGGCGCAAGCCUGAUCCAGCAAUGCCGCGUGCAGGAUGAAGGCCUUCGGGUUGUAAACUGCUUUUGUACGGAACGAAAAGCCCUGGGUUAAUACCCUGGGGUCAUGACGGUACCGUAAGAAUAAGCACCGGCUAACUACGUGCCAGCAGCCGCAGUAACAC